rnacentral:lncRNA from 10 species
CUGAGAUCCCCACCAAUGGAGAGCUGUCAACUUACCAUGGCUGCUUCAUUCUUACCUGAAUGCAGUGGACCCAAGAACAUGGAAGGUGGCGUUGAGCACACAUAGAAGGAAUUCUGGGAACAGCCCUCUAUUUCUGAUUGAGGAGAAAGAAUUAAAUUCUUAAUGCCCAGAGAGCGUGCAUAAAUGUUCCAUUUUCUUCCUAAUUUUAAAAUUUAUUAUUAUUAUUAUUGAUUGUAUCCUAGACCCUACGCAAUCCUAUGGCCCAUAGGAGCUAAAUUCUGAGGAUAAGGAAUCUUUCUCACUGAUCUAUGAAAUGUUGUUGCUCUUUUGUUUUUCUUUUUUUUUUUUGUCCUCCUGCUACUUGCCCACAAAAGAGGGCACGAUCACAGAAAUGCA